rnacentral:rRNA from 1 species
GACGAACCGUGCGAACGUUAUUCGGAAUCACUGGCUUAAAGCGCGUGUAGGCGGAUGGGAACGUCGGUAGUUGAAAGCCCCCGGCUCAACCGGGGAAGUGGUGCCGAAACGACCCGUCUGGAGGGACGUAGGGGGACCUGGAACUUCCGGAUGGAGCGGUGAAAUGCGUUGAGAUCGGAAGGAACGCCCGUGGCGAAAGCGAGGUCCUGGACGUCUACUGACGCUGAGACGGCGAAAAGCUAGGGGAGCAAACGGG